GUUGGUUGCAGUGCUGCAGGAGGGAAAGGACCGAUGAAUCCGGCUCAAUGUGUGCUGCCAGUAAAGGGUUCAAGACCGAAAUGGCAAGGCCAGGGAACCUCAUCAUGUGGCUUCUUUCACUGCUGGUAUUUCCAUCAAGUCCAGUUCUCCCAGGUCAGACUGUGAAGAUGCGCAUCAGGUAUCGCGAUGCCAGAGGGUAAAACAUUGUUUGGAGAUCGUCAUCAGGUGGAACAGCCAUCAGUGCUCUGAAAGCAGGAGAUGGAGCUGCAGUGCAGUAGAGAGGAGCUGUGGGGAAGCAGAGAGGUCCAGGUGGAAGGGCAGCGAAGUCCGCAGAAUCCGAUGCUGUGUACCCAGGAGGUGACUGUGCAGUUCGUCUGAAGUGAAAAUGAAUUCUGCAUUCUGGCCGUGUGUUUCUCGGUGGUCCCCAGAGCUGUAUUGCCGCAAAAAUGUAUGCUGUCUACACAUAGAAUGGCUUGAGAAUCUGAACGGGUGAUCUCAUCUGAGAGUCUGGGAGCUGCCCAGACCCUGCCAGGUCUGGCGCGCAGCCCCAGGGAGAAGACCCCUCAUUGAGCAAGACUUCCAUCCCGGUUCACGAGGUGGGACGGCAGAGUACAGAGAAGUUGGGGACCGUGCCCAGCUGGCAGAGGUCCGAAAGUGAGAGAGAGCCUCCCUCCAGCAGCCACACCAGGGAAGGGCAGGCCUGUGUCGUGAAAGGACAAGGAGCCUGGCAUCGCCUAGGGAGGCGAGGACCGCUUUGAGGACGCCUGGAGCAGACCCUGCUCACCACAGUGACAACCCGCAUGAGCUCCUCCUCUCUAGUCUGCUGGCUCCUUGAGCAGAGUGUCCUCCUAGGUGUCCCGUGUGAGAAUGGGAUGGACCCUCCUUGAUGUGGAGCUGCUCUUCACUUCCGCACUCACCUCCCUUCCCUGAGAUGUCCGACCUCUGCCAGCCUCUGCUUCUGAAGGUCCUUCCCCCGGGACUGGGACAGACACUCUUUUCUGUGCCGUGUCUUUCGUGUCUUUCGUGUGGACUCCUGGUCCCAUAGUCUGCCCAGGUCAAUGGGGCCUACUGUAGGAAGUUGCCGUGCUGAAAGAAGGGACAAUAUGGUGUCACAAGACCCUUCCUGCUUUCCAGAAGGGAGGAAGAACAGAGGGCUAGACAAUGGAGUGGGAAACAGAGCCAGAGCUGCCAUAGCAGUUGCCCAGGAUGAGCCUAGGAAAGGGAUGGUGCCAUCAGGCGAUAGGGAUUUGUUGUUGGUGGCCUCCAGUAGGCCAGUGCAAGGGCAUGCUGGGCACAAAGCCCUACUGAAGGGGACUGAGGAGCAAAUGCUAUGCAGAGAGGUUGGAGAAAUUUCGAACUGAAACCCAUGCAUUCAUGUGCCAGUAGCUGCAGACUCCCAUGUGGGAUGGGGGUCCAAUCCGCAGAGAUACCUGCCAUUGCUACCAAGAUACCAAGGAGGGAGGGACCCAGUUUUCUGUAGGGACCCCAAAGAAUGGAGCAGUUCAACCACAGUAAGGCACCGCCCGAUAGCUCCCCUGCCCAGACAGUGGACGCAGUACCCAGAAGAGGCUCCAAGCACUUUUUUCCAGCACAAAGGGCGGGGGAGAGAAAAGAGUUCGUGGCUCCACACUGCCACCUGCCGACCACAGAAACUCAGCGCCGGCAUUCUUCCCCUUAAGCCCCGUUUUCUCACCGAAUUUCAAAAGUAAAACCAACAUAAAAAUACCAGAGAUCAAUUCUCCACACACCACCGCCACUGACAGCUGUGGUCAGAAGAUGCAGGGAAGGGCCCCAGGAACCCCUACCCCCAACACCAGCUCCACCGCUCCCUUAGUCCCGCCCUCAGAACCAAAGCAAUCUUAGCGGAAGUCCCUGGUCCCAGAGCCCGCCCCAGAGGACUGAGGCUGCCCUGCCGGUGGUUUGCUCUGGGCCCUGGGGAGGAGGAAAAGUGAGAGCCCAGCCAGAGUCCCGGCGGGCAUCACUUUCCAGUCUUCUCAGGGACCCUGUUUCGAACUGUUAGCUGCUGGGCAGGGCCUGUGCUGUCAAGGUCCUUUUCCCCAAAUGCCCCAUGUGCCCCCGGUGUGGGGCCUGUUCCAGGUCCCUAGUCACCCUGUGCCCGCCCUAGCCUCUGAAUACCCUGGGCCCUUGGCACAACCACCUACCCCCUGUCAGCCUCCAUCCUGGGGAAACCUCCUGGUGACAUCAGGACCCACGAGCCGGCUCUGGCCUUCACAGAGCCUCUCUGACCUCACAUUGUUUCUCCUCCUGGUGACCUGAGCUUCAGUCACCCUGCCAGUGGUCAUGCC